rnacentral:rRNA from 1 species
UGGGGAAUAUUGGGCAAUGGGCGAAAGCCUGACCCAGCGACGCCGCGUGAGGGAAGAAGGUCUUCGGAUUGUAAACCUCUUUCAGCAGGGAAGAAGAAAGUGACGGUACCUGCAGAAGAAGUCACGGCUAACUACGUGCCAGCAGCCGCGGUAAUACGUAGGUGGCGAGCGUUAUCCGGAAUUACUGGGUGUAAAGGGUGUGUAGGCGGGAGUGCAAGUCAGGCGUGAAAUCUAUGGGCUCAACCCAUAAAUUGCGCUUGAAACUGUGCUUCUUGAGUAUGGGAGAGGUAAACGGAAUUCCUGGUGUAGUAGUGAAAUGCGUAGAUAUCAGGAGGAACACCGGUGGCGAAGGCGGUUUACUGGACCAUAACUGACGCUGAGACACGAAAGCGUGGGGAGCAAACAGG